rnacentral:lncRNA from 12 species
GAUGGAGCUCUGGCCAUCAGGAAGCAGAGCAGACAGACCAGGCUGUCCCUGGGGAUCCUGUGUGCCACUGAACACUCCCUGAUGACCUGAGACGUGGGCCUGCUUUGCUCUGAGAGGCCGUAGGGAGAUCCCAGGGCACAUGUGCUAAGAGAGAGCUGAAAUGCCGGUGGGCAGCAGUGGGCCGCGUGGGGCGAGAUCAUCACUGCGUGUUCUUGCGGCUGCGGGGUAUGCUGGAGAGGCUGAGUCCGCUGCCCGGGGAACCCGCGGUGACCCGAGCACAGAACCUUUCAAUGAGCCCUUAGAUCCGGGGGCGCGCCGCGCGGGGUGCCUGUCCGCGUCCUCGCCUUCUGCGGCGCUCUGUUGCCAUGGCAACGCUCCCAACGACGGCUCGGCGGCGGCUCGCAGCCACGUAGUGAAUAUUCCGAUAAGACGGCGGGGUUAGAAACUGCGUUGCCGAUGCGUGUUGUUAUUCAGGGUCAGCGUUACGAGGUGCUGGGCAGGGGGGUGGGAGUGGAGAAAGAGAACUUGUUUAUCUUCUGGCUAAAAUACAGAAGCACAAGUACCAAACUCUAGAAAAUACCCCAGGAAGUGUGAAUGCUCCUCAGCUGUUGUCUUGACUUUAUUAAUAUCAAAUAUUUCCAGGGAGGUAGAAAGAAUAUGGGAUUAUCUUUAUUAACAAGUAAUAUUGCUAUAAUAUUGUCUUGCCCAUCUAUUUGUUUAAUAAUACUGAGUCACCAGGGAAUGUGAUUAAAAAGCUGAGAUCCAGUCAACAUGUAAUUAAUAGUCUUCUGAGCAGUAGGGGCACAUUCAAGCUGCCCUGGUCUUAUGAACACGUUUAUACCUUCCUGUGAGGACAUUUCGGGAUGAACAAAUCUGAGGGUCGAAGCUAUGUCUAUGAAAAAAAAAAUCUGCUCCUCCAACACACUGGUGAUAGUCAUCUUUCAGGGAGUUCCAGAAGAGAAGUAAUGGGAACUGGUCAAAGGCAGAUUCAGGCAUUGGAAUAUGGAAUAUUAAUAUUUUCCUCAUCUCUGGGAAGUUUUAAAAGUAAAGCUAUUCAAAAAAAAAAAAAAAAAAGGGAUCCUUGCGUGGCGCAGCGGUUUGGCGCCUGCCUUUGGCCCAGGGCGCGAUCCUGGAGACCCGGGAUCGAAUCCCACGUCGGGCUCCCGGUGCAUGGAGCCUGCUUCUCCCUCUGCCUGUGUCUCUGCCUCUCUCUCUCUCUCUCUCUCUCUCUGUGACUAUCAUAAAUAAAUGAAAAUUAAAAAAAAAAAAGUAAAGCUAU